GUCACCCCGACACCAGCCCCUGCGCACCGUGACCCGGAAGCAUCGCCUUCAACAGGAAAUGACGUUGGGCCGCUCUCGGGGCUCGAGAGCUGCACUGCGGCUGCGCGGGUCCCGGGGCUCGCACGGCCGCUCCGCCCUGCCCCGAGGUUCGAUGGUCUUGGGAAGUACCCCAGUGAUUAUGCUGUGACCUGCCGGUAGGGACGUUCUGGAACCUCCCCUCCCCGCCCCCGUUUAUCCCUUUGACGUUCCUCAAACUUAAAGCUUUACAUAAAUCUUUUUAUGCUGCAA